CCUUUAGUGUUCAUAGCUAACAUUCUAAGGGGAGUCCGGGAGUGCUACAUACACACUCAGUUGAGUGUGUGUGAGCCGCUCAGCCAUGUGGCAGUUUUUAAUUUGAUAAAAGCUUAAAGGCAGCAAACACGUUCUCUUUCCUCUUGUCCAUAUUUUCUAUGCCCGUUUUACCCCUCUCUUGCCAAUGUCCAGCUUCUGUCAUCUGAAAGCUCCAUUGGAGUGAUUCUUCAACAACCACAGCCACCACCGGUGCCGCCGUCUCAAACCCAAGACCCAACAGACCUCACUUCGAGCGCCUCUGCCUCCUGCCUGGGAUCCCAAGCUUUGAGAUCACUCGGACAUCGGGCGCUCUGUCGCGCCUUCAUCUUGUCAGUGACGGAGGAGGUAAGGGAACCACCGCGUCGGAAGUGAUGGUAACAACUAUCAUCGGGGCAACAAAUUUGCAGAAGCCUAAAACACGAGUUGAACUGCAAGACCAACUAGCAGAAUCCCAAAAUCCCCAAAAAUUCAAAUUAGGGUUUCCUUCCCCAAAUUGAAAAUCCCAAUUUGAAGCGCAACCAGAAAAUAUGGUGUGAGAGAAGUUUUUUGAAUAUCGAUCGAGGUUCCAAUUGGAUUGAAUUGGUUGUGUUUAUGGUGAGAAGAAGCUUGCGGAGGUGAUAGUGCCAGACAAGUGGAGGGAUUGUGCCAGUAACACCCCCGAAGGCGGUGGCGAAUGGUGGAUGUGGUUGAUGAACAAAGAGAUGAACGGAGUUUAGUUAGAGACUAGCAAGAUUGCCCGCGCAUUGCUGCGGGGUUCAUUAUUAUGAAUGAAAUGAAAAAGAAGUGUUGCUUGAUAUUGUUUAGGCCAAUUUCUUUUGACGGUCACUGGAUCAGCGUAAGGCUUGGAAUAAAAUUUUAAAAUUAGUCUUUUAUUA